CAGCGGCGCUGCUGCUUCACGGCCUCUGAGGCGGCCCCGCUGCGGCCGGGGCGGGGGAGGGGAGGGGAGGGGAAAACCGCGCCUCUGGCCCGCCUGGGGACCGCUGGGGGGAGGCCGGACGAGAGGCGUGAGGGGAAGCGAGUGCCCCGCGAGGCCCGGGCCGGCUUCGUGGAACGUGCGGGUGGCGGAGCCCCCGGCGGAGCCACAGCGCUGCUGGUCCCCUGCCCGUGAGGCCACGGCGCCGGGCCGGGCCUUCGGGACGCGGGUGUGAACAGAAGCUCGCGGGCUCGCCUCAAACAUUGAAACGGGUACAAAAGCCACCCGAAAGAAGCGAUAUCGAACCCAAACGGCCAGCUUGGGGAAACGGCAGCGAGGUGCUGAAAUCCGCUGGAGCCGCUGACACAGCGGGCAGCGCCGCCCACGUCCAGAGUUUGCGGCUGUGUUAAUUCUGUUGCCGUGGAAACGGACGGAGAGUGCUAAAAAUGGAGCAGAGCCUCAAUAAGGUGAAGUGAAGAGAAGCAGCAGCAGUGCUGCCAGACUGUGUUCUUGCAGCACUGCCAGAAUGGACUGGGCUCCAUGCUUCCUGUGUUCUCCUGCACCCAGGAUCUCAGCACUGUGAUUUCAGGGGAGAAGGACAAUGCUGAAGGGGCAACUUGUUCUGCAGGAAGAGGGGGGGAAGACGUGGACAAAUGAAGAGAAAACAGGAGGAGAAAGGGCGGAGGAAAGAGGCUGCUAAAGAGAGAAGGUGGCUGUAAGAUUGUGAAUAUCACUUUGUGAAAGGAACAGAGACAGCAGCAAGUUAUCUUAGCAGCCUUUCAGAUACUCUGUCAAGGCUGAAAGAGUGUGAGACUCUGGAAUCUGUAACUGUCUCUCUUGUGGCCAGUCUCUUUUUUUCUGCAGUGAAAAUAACUUCUCAGGCAAACAAUGGCCUUUCCUAUGGAAAGAACUGACAUCAGUUAGUAUGUGAUAACCUCUGUGGCCAUAGUUGGUAUCCACAGCAUGCCUUUGCAGCUCGAAGAUUUUAUCAUCUGGUUUGUAUUUUACACACAAAAAUACCUAUCAAGUUAAAAAUGAUUUUACAUGGAGAGAGAUACUCAAAAUGUACUCUAUAUGAGUGGGAGAGAGAAGGUCCAAAGGAAGAACCAACUUCUUGUAAAACAUGGCCAAAAGAGCUGACAAAAAGUGAGGGAGAACCAAGCAAAGCAAGAUGAAUGUCUGAGUGGGUUUGCCUAGUUGGGGGAACAGAACACACCAUGCUGUGCUGGGACAGUGGCUGCUCACAGAAACCAAACCUAAGCUGGACCAAACUGAUAAGCCCUGUAAAGGUGUAAGGAGGUAGUAGAAUUUAUAUCCUCAGGCAUUUGGCCCACAAAGUAUAGCUCCUUCCUUUUAGAUACAUUUAUAAUAAAAGACCAUUCAGAUUCUAUGUGAGUUUGGGCAUAAAUUAUGCCAAACCCCUACUGUCCCUUUUGAAAAUUUAUUUCAAUGUCCGUAUGCGCGAUUUAUGUCAAUGUAAAUUCGACCUCAUCCAGAGUAUAACUAUACCUAAUUAUCAGCCAUUUGAGCUACUUCUGUAUUAAACUAUUAAAUUGAAGUAGGAUUGAAGCCUCUUAUGAUUCCAAAUGCUAAAUACAGCAUUAGCAUAAAUAAAACUGUAAAAUACAAGCAAAAUGAAGAUUUACUUAGAAAAUAUAUAAUGUAAUUUGUGCUUAUGGGUAAAUUGGUUCCUGGCUGCCCAGGAUAGGGACGGUAUGACCUGCAUCAGGCUGAAGUAUAUGUCUUCGGAGUCUGAAUCUGCAUUAUUAUUACAGAAAACAAAUGACAUACCUUUAAACGUUUAAAUUCAGCAUCCUUAUGAGAUUUAUUGCAGUCUGACCCCCUCUGCUGGCGACGUGUUUGCUGUCAGUGUACCAGAACCUGCACUCCAAAACAGGCUCUGUGAUAGAGGUGAUGGGUGCUGGCAAGCAGAAAAUGAUAGGUACCAGCAUAGAAGGGAUGGAGAGUUGGCAGUGCAGGGGCACUGACAGUUCAAGGACACAGACAACAUCGUGGCAUAACUCUAACCCCAAAUUAUUGGGUUUGGCUUUAGGAUUUGAGCCACUAAAGCCAGUUCUAGCAGAAGCGUAGAAAGGCAAUAGGUCUGGUAACUGGUAUUAGGGUGAACUAUCGGGGUUUUAAUAAAGAUUGUUUUUGUGACUCUCCACAUUUGUUUUGCUUCUGUCAAGAUGUAAAGCAGUAAAAGGCAAAUGUAAUUUGAAAUAAGGACAUACAGAAAAAAGUUGAAGAGGGGAUUUUCUUGAAAAACAAUGGGGCAUUUCCUGAGGAAACAGGUGCUCAGUUAAAAAUUGGCCUCAUUAUGAUAGAAUAUUUGUCAAAAUUGGGAAGAAGUCAUGUCAGGAACGUUGAUAUAUGCUACAGUAACCAAUAAUGUCAAAACAUGCACAAUACCAAGUAUACGCACAAUAUAAAAAAAAUAUUUUAGUGUCUAGAGUGAGCAUUUUUUCAACUUUUUCUUUUAGUCUAUGGAAAAAAUAAAUGUUGAUACACUGGAUGUCCCUAUGACAUAGCAGAAAUUCAGCCAGCUCUAGGCUUUUAGAUCAGCAGUACUUGGAACUGAUAUGAACAAACAGAUCCCAUACAACUCAUUCUACUUUCUGGAUUUGUUCGUGCUACCUCAUACUUUUUUGGCUUUCUUGAUAUAUUCCCAUGCUGCGAAGAACCAGUGAGGAUCAGCCAGUUAAAUAUGUCUUGUUAAACAGAAGCAGUCCCACUAACCACAGAGAUGCUAUGUUACAUGCUAAAAAAUAUUCAGAGAUGUGAUUGAGCGCUUUGUUCAAGAGAAGCUUCACAAAGUAAUUAAAGACCCCAUCAAUUUCCCCAAUUUAUUUCAGAAAAAUAGACAGUCAUCUUUUUCAAGGAUUUUCUCAGUACAGUUUUCAUUUUUAACAACAACUAUUUUCUGUUACAUUUUCUUUUUAAAAUAAUGCUUUCCAGUAUAGUACAUCUUAAAGACAGAAAUACUCUAUUUAAACAUAGGUUGAUAAAAAAUAUGUAUAAACAAAACAGUAAAACAUUUUGAAGUCUUUCUUACUCUUAAUAGUCUUAAAACUCUACGUAAACUAUGUAAACAUAGGAUUUUCUAUUGCUUCAGAUAUUCAGCAGGAAAUCCAGUCUAAUACAGCUGGAUAAUAAAAUUUCACCCAUUUAUGUUUGCACAGACUAAAUAACUGUUAAUCAUAACUUGAAAAUCCCAAAGCAGAAAUAAGAAUAGUAACUGGAUAAUCUGUUUACAAAGUAUUGUAAUAUUCCAAGGCACUUAGCAGUUUUGAAUCAAUGUUUUGGUUUCAGAAUAAGCUCUUCUUUUUAAAUCAAUUAGGUUUAGAAACAUUGAAGAGAAAUAAUCCAGAUUCAUCACUUCCUUUAAAUGAGGAUGCCCAGUUUCAAGACAAAGAGGCCA